rnacentral:rRNA from 1 species
UACGUAGGGGGCAAGCGUUGUCCGGAACUAUUGGGCGUAAAGAGCGUGUAGGCGGCCAGAUAAGUCCGCUGUGAAAUCUCGAGGCUCAACUUCGAGCUGUCGGUGGAAACUAUCUGGCUAGAGUCCGGAAGAGGAGAAUGGAAUUCCUGGUGUAGCGGUGAAAUGCGCAGAUAUCAGGAAGAACACCCGUGGCGAAGGCGGUUCUCUGGGACGGUACUGACGCUGAGACGCGAAAGCGUGGGGAGCGAACAGG